UGGGGAAUAUUGCACAAUGGGCGCAAGCCUGAUGCAGCCAUGCCGCGUGUAUGAAGAAGGCCUUCGGGUUGUAAAGUACUUUCAGCGAGGAGGAAGGCAUUGUGGUUAAUAACCACAGUGAUUGACGUUACUCGCAGAAGAAGCACCGGCUAACUCCGUGCCAGCAGCCGCGGUAAUACGGAAGGGUGCAGCGUUUAAAUCGGAAUUACUGGGCGUAAAGCGCACGCAGGCGGUCUGUCAAGUCGGAUGUGAAAUCCCCGGGCUCAACCUGGGAACUGCAUUCGAAACUGGCAAGCUAGAGUCUUGUAGA
rnacentral:rRNA from 1 species